AAGAGAACAAGAGACGGACUUCUUGUCCACCUUCCUCCCAUGGCGUCCACCGAAGGUCACUCCACACCCCCGCUCCCCACCAGAACAGCAACUUGCUUCCUUUACCGAGAUGACUCUUGAGUGAUGGUGUUGGGCCUCAUGCAUAAAGACUUUGGAAGGCUCCGAUUUCCCAUGCUUAUUCUCUCACUUUAGAAAACUAACAAUAAAAUGAAUUACUUCACAUGAUGAUUGUUUUGUCACUGAAUCACAGGAUCUGGAUAACCAGCUACCAAAAAUGCUAAAGGUAAUUGUCAUUCUAUCUGAAAUGAAUGGCAAGCAACAGCACCACUACCAUCUUCCGUCUUACAGAUGGAAGGUGUCCACGUCUUUGGAAGUGAUAGCGUGCACUUCUUGCAAAUCAAGAAGUCAUUCUGGCUAUAGACACCUGUCACUCGGGGGCUUCUGUGAGUCUGGAUCAGCAUCCGUGAGAAUGAUUGACCUCGGGGUUCUCCGGAGACAGAGUUUCUA
rnacentral:lncRNA from 1 species